rnacentral:lncRNA from 1 species
CAAGUUAAAAAGGAAGAGAAGAGCAUAUAGUACUAUCAGAAAAUAGAAGUCUAUGGUGUUUAGACAUUGGACAUACAUUGCAUAAAAAUAGUUGUUUAGAUGACACUUUAUUUGAAAGAAAUGAAAUAGAUCUCAUCUUGGCAAAUAAAAUAUGACCUAAUCUUUGAUUCCAAAAAAAAUAAUCUUUAUUACCAACACAUAUGAAUUACAAGAUGAGCUAUGAGAUACAAAAUGAGCAACAGAAUUUGAAACAACAUUAGUGCUAGGAACAGAAACAGAAAUAUUAGACUCAGAGAAAAGGAAACAAAACUAUUCAGAAACAAAGGAAAAUAAGAAUCAGCUUAAUGUAGGAAGUAUAGUCCAUUUGUAGCUUUACCAAUUUCCAGAGGCCUCCCCAGAGAAUGACCCUAUAAAAUACGGUUAUAAAUGGUGAAGAUUGCAAGAUAUUUGAACUGAAGAAGUAACUUGUGUACAGAGAUCAAAUUGAAAUAGAAUUAGGAAACUAAUAAGACGUUAUGUAAAAUCAUAUAUGCCGUGAGGGUCAUAGAACUAGUAGAUAUGACCUUUACUUUAUAUACAUUAAGUAGAGUAAUUAAAAAACUAUUACUGAAGGCUUACGAUUGUGAAGUAAGUGUUUAUGUGGUGUGAUGUGGUUGGUGUCACCAUACUCUAUGAUCCAAGGGUUUAAACCUACAUGUGAAUAUGCACAUGCAUGAAAAGAAGCUGAAUGCACCUCAGGGUGAUUGUACACACCUGCAAAGUUGGCAAAUCUUGCAUGUCACACCACUUUUUUCUACCCAGAAUGGAGUAUAUGGGAGUUUUUUAAUUAAAGUGACAAUAUUCGAAAUGAGAUUAUUUAUUUCCGUCUAGAGUCACCACUUGAGAUAAUUUAUGGUGUCCCAAGUCACAGGUUUAAAAUAUCGAAUAGAGGAAGUUUGACUCUGUUUUACAGUCAGCGAAACACAAAAAUUCGGGUAAGAAAUUCUGUAACUCGGGAGAAGGUGUUAGGCAUUUCGGAGUUUCGUGGGUUUAACAUGUUGUAAACCUAUUAUCCAUUUUUAGGUGUUGAACGCAUUUAAUUAUUUAUGGAAUUAUUCAGGAAUAAAUUACAAUUAUCGUACACUUGUUUGUUUGGUACACAUUGCGACAUCGUUUCACGGGAACCAUACCAAUGAUUUACAUCGUGUUUAAAGUAUUAGCAUUAUUAGUUAUUGGCCGUAUCACAUAAAUGUAACCCCAAAUUUAGAAAAUUAUAUAUCACAACUAUGUCAUGAGAACUGUAACCGUAGCUAUGAUAAUUUAUUAUAAAACGCACCUAAAGAAAACUACGAAUAUUUGACAUAUUUUUUACACUAGUUAUGAAUGUUCCAAGUCUUUCCCACACUUGUCUUGGUAUUAAUGCGAGGGCCAUUGAUUAUGGAGUUCAUUUUUGAAUGGCACGCCUUGAUUUACUUCAAAAGAUUUGCAUUCAAUUAAAGCGAACUACGAAUGUUCAGUUUUAAAACUAAUUAGGUAUCACAUCUAUGCCAUGAAACUGUGCCCAUAAUUGUAAUGAUUUAAUUGCAUGCCUAAAGCAAACUACAAAAGUUCAUAUCCACUUCAUAAAUAAAUUGAGAUUAUUGAAGUUAUUACUUAUGAAUAUAGAACUAGUGCGGAAGAAAGUGUAGGAUUUCAGCAACAGAAUUAAACAUAGUGAUUAUUCGGCCAAGAAAGUGAGCCCUACUUUGGUCUACUAUCUUUGGGCUAGCUCCCAUUCAAUUCCUAUGGCCCAAAAUGAUACUACUAUUAAACAGAUUUUUCCAGCACGGUACUUGUUCCAUAAAUCCAAUCCAUCUUCCUUAUUUUCUUAUGACCCAAUUACUUAUUAAUAAUAGUAGAUUCAAUGCUAAAUAUCUCAGCAAAAAAGAAACUAUAGAAUAUCAACUCUAAUGUUUAACGCAACAGAACAAUUACAGAUAUACAUAAUUGACAAAAUAUAAUGUUAGUCCAUUCAUGAGCAAGGAACAUACUGUGGCAUAUUACAAAACCAGAAAGUCUGAAUUUUUAUGAAUUGAAUUAAUUUAAACUAAUAACGAAUUUCAUCAAAGUCAAAUGUUUAACCACUUCAUCAAUGUUUGAAUUCUAAGGUGACAAAUCUGGACAUUAUUUUUUAAUUAAACAUGGAGUUUUUUUUUUCUUUCUUCAAAGAGUACAUAGAAAUUGGACGCUGAAACUUAUCCCUCAAGCUUGACAAAUGAACCAUAGCCAACAUAUUAGUCAACACCCCAGUUCAAUGAACAUAAAAGAAACGAGCUAAUUACACUAUACCUUUGUCCUGAACUUUUCAUACAGAUCGAGCACAUAAAGUAUGAACUACUAAAAUAUUUGACACUGAACAACUCCACUAAUCAGUGACUAUGAUAAUCAAUUUAUCAUAUUUAAGGAAGAACUAAAAGGGAAGAAGUAAAGAGAAAGUUGAAUGGCUUAAAAGAAACAUGAAAACUAAAGUUCCAAACAAGAGUAACUUCAUUGACUUCAGCAUAAGUACAUUUUUCACACAAAAACACACUUAAGCUCCAUUUGCCAUUCAAGAUUCAAAGGGGUACCUGGAUGCAGUAAAUAAACGAAAUAGAAAAGAGAGUCUUUGAAAUCAACAAGUAACAGCAGCAAGCUCCAGUCAAGUGUCAAUAACUAUCCCACGGCUAAAAUAUUUUAUGAAAUCCCAGAGAACAUCAAUUAAACAGUAGUAAAAAAGACCAAAUAGCUUUGGAUCCUGUUACUAUGAAGCUUUCGACCCUUCUUUCUAUGAGUUGUGUGUGUCCAUCAUGAAAAAAAUUAACUUUCAGAAAAGAAAUUCUAAGGGAAUUCUCUAUAUGCAGCUACCGGUGAAUAUCUUAGCCAUUUUUCCUUUUUUUUUUUUGUCUCUUAGACCUCUCUGCCCUAGAAUGAGUCUUAUAAAAAGAUUUUAGGCCAGCAAAACCUGAUUUUCUUCAUUCACUAUUACCUCUCUUCAAUUCCCUUUUGUUCAUUUCAAACCCCAAACUUUAAG